GGAUCUCUUAAAGCUGUUCUCAGUUCGGACUGCAGUCUGCAACUCGACUGCACGAAGCUGGAAUCGCUGGUAAUCGCGGAUCAGCACGCCGCGGUGAAUACGUUCCCGGGCCUUGUACACACCGCCCGUCACACCAUGGAAGUCUGCAAUGCCCGAAGCCGGUGGCCUAACCACUUAUGUGGAAGGAGCCGUCUAAGGCAGGGCAGAUGACUGGGGUGAAGUCGUAACAAGGUAGC
rnacentral:rRNA from 1 species